GAGCAGGGCAGCUCUGCUCCCUUUGUAGGGUAUUCCUGGACCCCUCAUGGCUGUGGGGUGUUCCUGGUGUGGGAUCCUUCAUGGCUGAGGAGAGUGGCCGCUUCUCUCUGAGGGCAGGAGCCAGUUCUGCCACUGCCAAGCAGCCCCGAGACACCGAGUGCUGAGCCCAGCGAUCCUGCACGGGCAGCGCCGCUGACAAAGCCCGCGAAGAGGCGAAGGAGCCGCGGGAAGCGCUCCCUCCCCGGCCGCUGCCUCCCGGAAGAUGGAGCUGUUUCCCUGACACAGCUGAUGGAGACCUGGAAUGCCAGACCUCGUGCAAAUCAUGUUGGGGUGUUCUGGAGCAGGACUGCUGCCUCUGCCCCCACACUGCAGCUGCCGUGGGGCUGUCCCUCACUGACCCUCACUGUUCCUGCUCCAUCCAGAGCAUUCCCAGCUGUGCUGAGCAGGACCUGGUGCUCUCAGGGAGAGCUCCUGAGAGACUGAUUCUUUCUGGGAAUGUCCACGUGGACACAUCCAAUGGAGAAGAAAGCAUAGUCUGGCUCCUCAGGUUGGGGGGAGGCUGGUUCACAAGUAACCAUGGCAACCAGGCUGUCACUGGGAGCACCAAGACAUUUUCAUACCAAAAAUAAAAUAGCCCAAACACACAACAGACAUUCCCACUCCAGCCUCCUUGGAGAUCCUACCUCAGUUUUGUUCCUCAGGGAUCCUGGCAGCAGCA